GCCCGGGUGGCGGAAUUGGUAGACGCGCCAGGUUCAGGACCUGGUUCUCGCAAGGGAGUGCUGGUUCGACUCCAGUCCCGGGCACCA
rnacentral:tRNA from 2 species